UUCAUGUUAAAAUGUGAAUUUUAAUCGUAAAAACUGUUUUCUGUAAAUAUAGUUAUAUCAACCUCUCUGCAUACAGCUUGGUUCAGAUAUAUACAGAUAUGAUAUACACAGAUGUUAUCUGUAGCACAGAACAUAAUCAGUUCAAGAAACAUGUGCCCGCUGGGAUGAACCCCAGCUUUCCUUAGGCCUUCUAAAUGAUUACCACCGAAGAGAGAACAGCAGAGCCAGAUGCAGGACAUUCAGGGAGAUGUAUCAACUGUCUUACUAAUUUCAUCAAAAUAGGGGUUUGACAUUUAAGGCGACGGGGAGGCUAUGCUGAUCUUACACUUGGAAAACACAGAACUUCUCCCAAGUUUCUUUUUCAGAAAAGACUUACUUGUCAGACCGGAGUUUUCACUCCAAUGUCAACAAUAUAUGUUGACAAUCCGAUAACUCAGUGACCAGUGUGUGGGUUUUUCAUUUUGUGGAUCA
rnacentral:lncRNA from 1 species